AAACUAUUCUCUGAAAAAACGACGCUUACAAACUUUUCAAAGACAGAAAUCUUAUGAACGCACCACCAUUUCUCUUUAUCACCACCCCUACACACAACACAUGGGAAGCACAUGCACAACGCA